UACGGGGGGGGCAAGCGUUGUUCGGAAUUACUGGGCGUAAAGGGCGCGUAGGCGGCCUGCUAAGUCGGACGUGAAAUCCCUCGGCUCAACCGGGGAACUGCGUCCGAUACUGGCGAGGCUUGAAUCCGGGAGAGGGAUGUGGAAUUCCAGGUGUAGCGGUGAAAUGCGUAGAUAUCUGGAGGAACACCGGUGGCGAAGGCGGCAUCCUGGACCAAUUCUGACGCUGAGUGAGCGAAAGCCAGGGGAGCAAACGGG
rnacentral:rRNA from 1 species